GACAGCAGCAGCCACGGUAAUACAGAGGGUGCGAGCGUUAAUCGGAUUUACUGGGCGUAAAGCGUGCGUAGGCGGCUUCUUAAGUCGGAUGUGAAAUCCCUGAGCUUAACUUAGAAAUUGCAUUCGAUACUGGGAAGCUAGAGUAUGGGAGAGGAUGGUAGAAUUCCAGGUGUAGCGGUGAAAUGCGUAGAGAUCUGGAGGAAUACCGAUGGCGAAGGCAGCCAUCUGGCCUAAUACUGACGCUGAGGUACGAAAGCAUGGGGAGCAAACAGGAUUAGAUACCCCGGUAGUCCCUGUCUCUUAUAC
rnacentral:rRNA from 1 species